ACUGUGGAGAGCUAUACCAAACUGUAGUAGACAGAUUGCGUGGCAAUCGUCAAGGCAGGGUUCGUUGAAGCAGUAA
rfam:Peptoclostridium acidaminophilum DSM 3953 plasmid EAL2_808p, complete sequence.